rnacentral:rRNA from 1 species
UAGGGAAUCUUCCGCAAUGGGCGAAAGCCUGACGGAGCAACGCCGCGUGAGUGAUGAAGGUCUUCGGAUCGUAAAACUCUGUUAUUAGGGAAGAACAAAUGUGUAAGUAACUAUGCACGUCUUGACGGUACCUAAUCAGAAAGCCACGGCUAACUACGUGCCAGCAGCCGCGGUAAUACGUAGGUGGCAAGCGUUAUCCGGAAUUAUUGGGCGUAAAGCGCGCGUAGGCGGUUUUUUAAGUCUGAUGUGAAAGCCCACGGCUCAACCGUGGAGGGUCAUUGGAAACUGGAAAACUUGAGUGCAGAAGAGGAAAGUGGAAUUCCAUGUGUAGCGGUGAAGUGCGCAGAGAUAUGGAGGAACACCAGUGGCGAAGGCGACUUUCUGGUCUGUAACUGACGCUGAUGUGCGAAAGCGUGGGGAUCAAACAGG